GGCAGCAGUAGGGAAUAUUGGGCAAUGGUGGCAACACUGACCCAGCCAUGCCGCGUGCAGGAAGAAGGCCUUCUGGGUUGUAAACUGCUUUUGGAAGGGAACAAAACGGGCAUGCGUGCCAACUUGAGUGUACCUUCAGAAUAAGCACCGGCUAACUCCGUGCCAGCAGCCGCGGUAAUACGGAGGGUGCAAGCGUUGUCCGGAUUUAUUGGGUUUAAAGGGUGCGUAGGCGGCCUGUUAAGUCAGGGGUGAAAGACUGCAGCUCAACUGUAGCAGUGCCUUUGAUACUGAUGGGCUUGAGUCUAGAUGAGGCCGGCGGAAUGGGUGGUGUAGCGGUGAAAUGCAUAGAUACCAUCCAGAACACCGAUUGCGAAGGCAGCCGGCUAAACUACAACUGACGCUGAGGCACGAAAGCGUGGGGAUCGAACAGGAUUAGAUACCCUGGUAGUCCACGCUGUAAACGAUGCGAACUCGAUGUUAGGGAUAUACUCUUAGCGUCCAAGCGAAAGCGUUAAGUUCACCACCUGGGGAGUACGCCCGCAAGGGUGAAACUCAAAGGAAU
rnacentral:rRNA from 1 species